GGCCUGUGAUGUGAAAAAAUUGUCCGUACUAUCUGAUAUCUUUGAUGAUCCACAUU
rnacentral:ncRNA from 1 species